rnacentral:rRNA from 1 species
AUGGGGGGACCAUCCUCCAAGGCUAAAUACUCCUGACUGACCGAUAGUGAACCAGUACCGUGAGGGAAAGGCGAAAAGAACCCCGGCGAGGGGAGUGAAAAAGAACCUGAAACCGUGUACGUACAAGCAGUGGGAGCACCUUCGGGUGUGACUGCGUACCUUUUGUAUAAUGGGUCAGCGACUUAUAUUCUGUAGCAAGGUUAACCGUAUAGGGGAGCCGCAGGGAAACCGAGUCUUAACUGGGCGUUAAGUUGCAGGGUAUAGACCCGAAACCCGGUGAUCUAGCCAUGGGCAGGUUGAAGGUUGGGUAACACUAACUGGAGGACCGAACCGACUAAUGUUGAAAAAUUAGCGGAUGACUUGUGGCUGGGGGUGAAAGGCCAAUCAAACCGGGAGAUAGCUGGUUCUCCCCGAAAGCU